UACGUAGGGGGCUAGCGUUGUCCGGAAUUAUUGGGCGUAAAGAGCUCGUAGGCGGUUUGUCACGUCUGCUGUGAAAUCCCGAGGCUCAACCUCGGGCCUGCAGUGGGUACGGGCAGACUGGAGUGCGGUAGGGGAGAAUGGAAUUCCUGGUGUAGCGGUGAAAUGCGCAGAUAUCAGGAGGAACACCGGUGGCGAAGGCGGGUCUCUGGGCCGAUACUGACGCUGAGGAGCGAAAGCGUGGGGAGCGAACAGG
rnacentral:rRNA from 1 species